AUCUGGCCCUCGGGUCCGAGUUGUAAUUUGCAGAGGAUGCUUUUGGCGCGGUGCCUUCCGAGUUCCCUGGAACGGGACGCCUUAGAGGGUGAGAGCCCCGUACGGUUGGACACCAAGCCUCUGUAAAGCUCCUUCGACGAGUCGAGUAGUUUGGGAAUGCUGCUCUAAAUGGGAGGUAAAUUUCUUCUAAAGCUAAAUAUUGGCCAGAGACCGAUAGCGCACAAGUAGAGUGAUCGAAAGAUGAAAAGCACUUUGAAAAGAGGGUUAAACAGCACGUGAAAUUGUUGAAAGGGAAGCGUUUGCGACCAGACCUUCUCCUGGCGGAUCAUCCGGUGGUCCCCACCGGUGCACUUCGCCAGGUCGAGGCCAGCAUCGGUCUCUGCAGGGGGAUAAAAGCUCAGGGAACGUAGCUCCUCCGGGAGUGUUAUAGCCCUCCGCACAAUACCCUUGCGGGGACCGAGGACCGCGCCUUCGGGCAAGGAUGCUGGCGUAAUGGUUGUCAACGACCCGUCUUGAAACACGGACCAAGGAGUCGAACAUUUGUGCGAGUGUUUGGGUGUUAAACCCUCACGCGUAAUGAAAGUGAACGGAGGUGAGAGCCCUCGCGGGUGCAUCAUCGACCGAUCCUGAUGUCUUCGGAUGGAUUUGAGUAAGAGCAUAACUGUUCGGACCCGAAAGAUGGUGAACUAUGCGUGGAUAGGGUGAAGCCAGAGGAAACUCUGGUGGAGGCUCGCAGCGGUUCUGACGUGCAAAUCGAUCGUCAAAUCUGCGCAUGGGGGCGAAAGACUUAUCGA
rnacentral:rRNA from 1 species